rnacentral:rRNA from 1 species
UACGAAGGGGGCUAGCGUUGCUCGGAAUUACUGGGCGUAAAGGGCGCGUAGGCGGACAGUUUAGUCAGAGGUGAAAGCCCAGGGCUCAACCCUGGAAUUGCCUUUGAUACUGACUGUCUUGAGUACGGGAGAGGUGUGUGGAACUCCGAGUGUAGAGGUGAAAUUCGUAGAUAUUCGCAAGAACACCAGUGGCGAAGGCGGCUCACUGGCCCGAUACUGACGCUGAGGCACGAAGCGUGGGGAGCAAACAGG